GACGAACGCUGGCGGCGUGCUUAACACAUGCAAGUCGAGCGGUAAGGCCCUUUCGGGGGUACGACGAGCGGCGAACGGGUAGAGUAACACGUGGGUGACCUGCCCUCAGCUCUGGGAGUAAGCCUGGGAAACCGGGUCUAAUACUGGAUAUGACUCCAUGACGCAUGUUGUGGGGUGGAAAGCCUUGUGCGGCUGAGGAUGGGCCCGCGGCCUAUCAGCUUGUUGGUGGGGUGAGGCCUACCAAGGCGACGACGGGUAGCCGGCCUGAGA
rnacentral:rRNA from 1 species